rnacentral:rRNA from 1 species
UACCCGCAGCACAAGUGGUGGUCAUUAUUAUUGGGCCUAAAGCGUCCGUAGCUGGCUUGUUAGAUGCCUGGGUAAAUCGAUGCGCUCAACGUAUCGAACACCGGGUAGACCGGCAAGCUUGGGACCGGGAAAGACGUGAGCUACUCGAGGGGUAGGGGUAAAAUCCUGUAAUCCUUCGGGGAGGACCAGUGGCGAAGGCGUCACGUUAGAACGGCUCCGACAGUGAGGGACGAAGCCCUGGGGCGCAAACCGG